rnacentral:SRP_RNA from 1 species
GCCAGGUGUGGUGGCUUAUGCCUGUAGUCCCAACUACUUGGGAGGCUGAGGUGGGAGGAUCACUUGAGCCUGGGAGGUCGAGGCUGCAGUGAGCCAUGAUUGUGCCACUGCACUCCAGCCUGGGUGACAGAGUGAGACCCUGUCUCAA